rnacentral:lncRNA from 1 species
AGGAAUCCAGAGGCUGUCCCCUGCCUGAUUCCCCAUCUAGCUGUCCCUCCACGCCUUUAGGAAGGCACAGGGUAGCCCUGAGUAUGAGGGAACACCUUGGGAGCUAACGGUCCCCAGAGGCCUUAACCUAACCAGUCUGCGGGGCAGGCUCAUUCCCAUGGCCUUUCUCCCACGGGAACCACCCCUCUGCCCUGAAGUUGCCCAGGUAGGCCAGUGAAGAGGGCCCGGAACCAGGAAGACCCUUGAAUCACCAUUUGGAACCCACACUUGGGGGAAAGGGGUGGCCGUGGCUUGGUGCCAUCAGCGUCCUGGGACCCUAGGUCUCUCUUCCCCGCGUUGUGGGCAUUCUGUGUGUGCCUCCCACCCUGCGCCGCGGAUCCCUGGACUCGUGGGGUGUGGGUGCUCCCUGCCCGUGCCCUCUGUGUACGUGGCUUUCUGCCCUCCUGCCCUUCCCCAGCUCCAGCAGUACCCGCGGCUACGGGAGGAGAUGGAGCGCAUCGUGACCACCCACAUCCGGGAGCGCGAGGGCCGCACUAAGGAGCAGGUCAUGCUUCUCAUCGAUAUCGAGCUGGCUUACAUGAACACCAACCAUGAGGACUUCAUAGGCUUUGCCAAUGCUCAGCAGAGGAGCAACCAGAUGAACAAGAAGAAGACUUCAGGGAACCAGGUGA